rnacentral:rRNA from 7 species
UUGAAAGCUGGCGUCUUCGGCGUCCGCAUUGUAAUCUCAAGAAGUGUUUUCCGCUUCGGACCAUGCCUAAGUCCCUUGGAAAAGGGCAUCAUAGAGGGUGAUAAUCCCGUACAUGGCAUGGAGCGCCCGAGGCUUUGUGAUACGCUUUCUAAGAGUCGAGUUGUUUGGGAAUGCAGCUCAAAAUGGGUGGUAAAUGCCAUCUAAGGCUAAAUAUUGGGGAGAGACCGAUAGCGAACAAGUACAGUGAUGGAAAGAUGAAAAGAACUUUGAAAAGAGAGUUAAACAGUACGUGAAAUUGCCAAAAGGGAAGGGUAGGAGGUCAGAGAUGCGUCUUGGGAUUCAGCCUUGCUUUUGCUUGGUGUUUUUCCCAAGUUGCAGGCCAACGUCGGUUUUGGGCACUGGAGAAGGGUGGAAGGAACGUGGCACCUCUCGGGGUGUGUUAUAGCCUUCUACUGGAUACAGCGACCGAGACCGAGGACAGCAGCGUACUCGCAAGAGCGGGCCUUCGGGCACCUUUACGCUUAGGGCGUUGGCAUAAUGGCCCUCUACCACC